CUCAUUCUGCCUUUACAUCUAUUUAUAUUAUGUUAUACACUAUCUCCACUGCAAACAUAAAUUUUCAAAUAAUAAUAAUAUAAAGGUUGGAUGACUGUCUAUUUUACUAUCAAUUGAUCCUGAAAAACAACUUUAAUCGGGGUUAUACUGUGUUAAGGGUCCUCAGAGCUGCAUGAGUCUUACCUGUAAAGAGGACCCAGAGGCUCACAACAUGAAAUGACUCUGGGAUGUGUAAAAAGCAUUGAUCUACAAGAGACAUUGAAAUCAUUUAGUAUAAAACCUUCACUUUAUGGAUAAAGAACAGUAGGAUGGAGGUUGCAGUGAGCCAAGAUCACUACCCAAGACGAGAAAUGGUAUAUAUUUGAGGUGAUGGAUAUGCAAAUUAGCCUAAUUUGAUCAUUGCACGAUGUAUACGUGAGUCAAAACAUCAUGUGUCCGGAAUUGGUGGGUUCUUGGUCUCACUGACUCCAAGAAUGAAGCCGCGGACUCUCGCGGUGAGUGUUACAGCUCUUAAGGUGGCACGUCUGGAGUUUGUUCCUUCUGAGGUUCGGAUGUGUUCGGAGUUUCUUCCUUCUGGUGGGUUCGUGGUCUCGCUGGCUCAGGAGUGAAGCUGCGGACCUUCGCGGUGAGUGUUACAGCUCUUAAGGCGGCGCCUCGGGAGUUGUUCGUUCUUUCCAGUGGGCUUGUGGUCUCGCUGGCUUCAGGAGUGAAGCUGCAGACCUUCGCAAUGAGUGUUACAGCUCAUAAAAGCAGCGUGUACCCAAAGAAUGAGGAGUAGCAAGAUUUAUUGCAAAGAGCGAAAGAACAAAGAUCCCACACUGUGGAAGAGGACCCCAGCGGGUUGCCACUGCUGGCUCCGGCAGCCUGCUUUUAUUCUCUAUCUUGCCCCACCCACAUCCUGCUGAUUGGUAGAGCCCAGUGGUGUGUUUUGACAGGGCACUGAUUGGUGCAUUUACAAUCCCUGAGCUAGACACAAAGGUUCUCCAAGUCCCCACUAGAUUAACUAGAUAGAGAGUGUCAACAUAAAUGUUCUCCAAGGCCCCACCAGAGCAGCUAGAUACAGAGUGUCUUGGUGUAUUCACAAACCCUGAGCUAGACACAGGGUGCUGAUUGGUGUGUUUACAAACCUUGAGCUAGAUACAGAGUGCCGAUGGGUGUAUUUACAAUCCCUGAGCUAGACAUAAAGGUUCUCCAAGUCUUCACCAGACUCAGGAGCCCAGCCGGCUUCACCCAGUGGAUCCGGCAGUGGGGCUGCAGGUGGAGCUGCCUGCCAGUCCCCCGCCAUGCACUCACACUCCUCAGCCCUUGGGUGAUCGAUGGGACUGGGUGCCGUGGAGCAGGGGGCGGCGCUUGUCGGGGAGGCUGGGGCUGCACAGAAGCCCAUGGAGGCGGAGGAAGGCUCAGCCAUGGCGGGCUGCAGUCCCGAGGCCUGCCCCGUGGGAAGGCAGCUAAGCAGUAAGAAAUCGAGCUCGGCGCCGGCGGGCUGGCACUGCUGGGGGACCCAGUACACCCUCUGCAGCUGCUGGUCCGGGUGCUAAGCCCCUCAUUGCCCGGGGCCGGCAGGGCCGGCCGGCUGCUCAGAGUGCGGGGCCCGCCAAGCUCACGCCCACCCGGAACUCCAGCUGGCUCGCAAGCGCCGCGCGCAGCCCCGGUUCCCGCUCGCGCCUCUCCCUCCACACCUCCCUGCAAGCUGAGGGAGUGGGCUCUGGCCUUGGCCAGCCCAGAAAGGGUCUCCCACAGUGCAGCGGUGGGCUGAAGGCCUCCUCAAGUGCCGCCAAAGUGGGAGCCCAGGCAGAGGAGGCGCCGAGAGCGAGCGAGGGCUGUGAGGACUGCCAGCACGCUGUCACCUCUCAAUCACAUGGCACCCCAGAAACACAUACAAUUAUCAUUUGUCAAUUUAAAACAAUGAAUAUAUUAAAUAUAUAAAUAAUUUACAGUAACUUGGAAAAAAAAAGCUCAGAGGCCAAUACGUCUAAAGCAGCAGAGGCUGUGUGGCUGCUGUAAUAAAUGGCUGCAAAUGGGGUGACUUAAAACAACAUAAAUGAAUUUCUUACAUUUCUGGAGGUUCCAAUUCUGAAAUCAAGGUGUUAGGUCAAACUCCCUCUAGAGCAAGGGGUUCCCCUUUCCCCGCACCAAGACUAGUAUCAGUCCCUGGCCUGUGAGGAACCCAGCUUCACAGCAGGAGGUGAGUGGCGGGCUGACCGGCAUUAUUGCCUGAGCUAACCUGUGGGAUCAGUGGCAGCAGCAGAUUCCCAUAGAAAGGCAAACCGUAUUGUGAACUCCACAUACAAGGGAUCUAGGUUGUGUGCUCCUUAUGAAUAUCUAACUAAUACCUGCUGAUCUGAGGUUCUGAGGUGGAACAAUUUCAUCCUGAAACCAUCUCCCCCCAACCCCAGGGAAAAAUUGUCUUCCACAAAACCAGCCCCUGGUAGCAAAAAGGUUGGGGACCUCUGCUCUGUAGACCACAGGAGAGAUUCCAUUCCUUGCCUCUUCUAGAUUAUGUUGUCUGUAGGUGUUCCUUGGUUUGCAGCUACAUCACUCUGAUCUCUGCCUGUCUUCACAUCACCUUUUUCUCUGUAUGUCUCUCUCAAAACUCCCUCUGCCUUUCUUUUAUUAGGAUACAUAGGAUUGCAGUUUUUACUCAGAUAAUCCAGGAUCAGCAGAUCCUCUUGUGACCUUUAAAACUCAUGCGUUCCAGAGAUUUGAGGUGGAUAUCUUUUGGGGAGCUAUUUUCCAGUUUACCACAGAGGCCAAUUUGGCUAAAGGCAGAGUGAAUGAGGAAAGAUCAGGGAAGGUUGGGAAGAGGGGCCAGGGUUGUAGACAAGAUUACAUGGGCUUUUACUCUGGGUAAGUUGGAGCCACUGGAUGACUUUGAGAAGAGGACUGACAUCAUUUGACCUUUUAAAGGAACACUCUUGGGGCUGUGGAGAGAAAAGGUCAAGAACGAGCGUAGAAGCUGGUUACCCAGUUUGGAGUUCUAUUGUAUUAAUCUGUGCUGCAUUCUAGGUGGCUGGGAAGUGGUAGAAAUAGUGAGAAUAGUUGCAUUCCAGAUAUUAAUUAAAGGAAGUGCUGAUUUCUCAAGGACUCUGGCUGUACUUUUAAGCCGGGGAACCAUUUUGCUGGAGAUCUUUAAAAGUGUUGGUUCCUUGGAAAAUAUCCUCAACAUUGGAGAGUAGCAAGAUUAGGGAGUCUGUGGUCUUUUCCCAGUGGCGACAGUAACCCAAGCUCAUAUUUACUAAUACAUAUGAAGACUCUUGACUCAAACUUGGUAGCUGACUUCCCACUGGAGAAUCCACUAGGAAGUACGAAAUCUCCCAUGUCUAUAGAUUAAGGUAGUAAAUGGGCAUUCAGCAUUGAGUGAACCAAACAAAUUCAGAAUUCCAAACCAUUUGUGGAAAAAAAAAUAACUAAAAACCCAAUGAUCUUAAGGAAUAGGGCUGGAUAGGACAUUAGCAAUAAGAACAGAGCAUCCUAAGAGUCUUGCUUUAGCUUAGAACACUGCCAGAGCAAAGAAAAUAAAUGCUGCAGAGCAAAACUGCAAACUGCAAACUGGUGGUAUGCUAGUGGAAUGGAUUUGUUCCCACAGAUUUGUUAUGUUUAUACAGCAAAAUGUUUGAAUUUGAAUUUGUUGUCAACAUUUAGAAAUUGGGCAUUUUCAUAUAAAAAUCAAAGUUCUCAUGUAAAAAUCUGUAUUUCCAGUUUGAGAAAUGAAAAUAUCGAGCAAUAGUUGCCCACUCUCUUAUAUAAACCUAAUAUAUUGGGGCCCUGUAAAAGUGCCCCCCAUGUAGAAACCUCCAAGUUCUCUUUCUUUCCUCCUUAUUUUCCUUAAUGAAUUUAUCUUGAGCUUCCUGCACUCCUGUUCCAAUCUGGCUGCUUACUAAGACCCACUGCACAACUGGCAUCUGGGGCUGUUCCUUCUUCAUCCUGAGAAUUCUACUCACCUCUCACUCUUAUUAUGUGCCUCAUUUCUAGGAUCCCAAAACAUAUUUCCCAGCUUAUUUUCUCAUUUGGUGGAGCAUAUUUACAGUAUUUGGAGAACCAACUACAAAGUUUGGAAAGAGUACAUUCCACACAAAACCACCCUCACUUUUGACACCAAUUGUAAGUUUGGAAAGUUUCCAAAACAGUUUUUAUAAUUUGCUAGAAGGACUUGCAAAACUUACUGAAAGCCAUUUUACUCAUGUCUAUCAUUUAUUACAGGGAAGGAAUACAAAUCAAUAUCAGCCAAAGCAAAAAGCACAUAGGGCAGAGUUUGGGGAAAUACCAAAUGCAGAACUUUCUUGUCUAAUCCUUGUGGAGUCAGGAUGCAUUACUUUCCACACUGAUCUAUGACAACAUGCACGGAGAAUUGCCAGCAAGAGAUGCUCACCAGAGCCUUGUUGUUGAGCUUCUUUUUUGGUUUCAUUACAUAGGUAUGAUUGAUGAAUUAAUUGCACACAUAGUUGAUUUCAGUCUCUAGAUUGACUACUAUCUUAUGGCCCAAAACCCUCAACAUAAAUUAUCUUGCUUUCCUUGGAUGGCCAGCCACACCUUAAAUCACACUGUUAGACUGUGCUGCAUGUUCCAAGGCCCGUAGACAGACAAAGACAUUUCUAUCAGGCAUAAAAUCCCAAGAUUUAAGACAUUACUUUCCAAAAGCUUAGGGCAAAAACCAGAAAAAUCUCUUGGGGAAAGGCUUGAUUCUUUACUACAUACUAUUCUACAGUAACUGCUUAAGAAUGGUACUUGGGAGUAAAGAAAAUAUAGAAAAUCAUUAAAAUGUGUAAUGAUUGCUUAUUUGGCAAGAUAAAGAAUUCCACUCUCUCCCUCCACCCAGUCCAAACCAACAUACAUUUUUCGCUCAGAAGAUACUACUUUAGCUUUUAAUGAUGUUUUAAGAAUUCUGAUAAUGUUCUGAGUCUUGAUCAAUUAUAAAUGACUUGCUUUUGCACUCAGAUGCUUUUAAAAUUUUCUCUACAUCCCAGUAUUUUGAAAUUUAAUGAUUAUGAGCCUUCAGGUCUUUUUAAUCCAUUCAUUUUAUUAGGAUUUAGUUGGAAUAAAAAAAAACUUAGAGCUUUGUGUUCUUAAGUUCUGAAAUACUUACUUGUAUUACUUCCUUUAUUACUGUGUCUUUUUCAUAUUCUUUUUUUGUUUUGUUUUGUUUUUGAGAGGGAGUCUCACUCUGUCGCCCAGGCUGGAGUGUGGAGGCAUGAUCUUGACUCACUGAAACCUUCAUCUCCCGGGUUCAAGCGAUUCUCCUGCCUCAGUCUCCUGAGUAGUUAGUAUUACAGGCGCGUGCCACCAUGCCCAACUAAUUUUUGUAUGUUUAGUAGAGACAGAGUUUCAUCAUGUUGGCCAUGCUGGCCUCAAACUCCUGGCUUCAAGUGAUUCGCCAGCCUCGACCUCCCAAAGUGCUGGGAUUACAGGUGUGAGCCACUGCGCCUGGACUUUUUCAUAUUCUUUUUUUGGAAUUCCUAUUCAGGAUAUGAAUUUCUUGAGUUGAUCAUCUAAUGUUAGUUUUUUUUCCUUAUAUUUUUAUGUCAUUUUUUGUGGGGGUUUUGGAGAAGAUUUUUUAUUCAGUUCCUCCA
rnacentral:lncRNA from 1 species